rnacentral:rRNA from 1 species
UACGUAGGGGGCUAGCGUUGUCCGGAAUCAUUGGGCGUAAAGAGCGUGUAGGCGGUCCGGUAAGUCCGCUGUGAAAGUCGGGGGCUCAACCCUCGGAAGCCGGUGGAUACUGUCGGGCUCGAGUACGGAAGAGGCGAGUGGAAUUCCUGGUGUAGCGGUGAAAUGCGCAGAUAUCAGGAGGAACACCGAUUGCGAAGGCAGCUCGCUGGGACGUAACUGACGCUGAGACGCGAAAGCGUGGGGAGCAAACAGG